rnacentral:rRNA from 1 species
GAUGAACGCUGGCGGCGUGCCUAAUACAUGCAAGUCGAGCGAACAGACGAGGAGCUUGCUCCUCUGACGUUAGCGGCGGACGGGUGAGUAACACGUGGAUAACCUACCUAUAAGACUGGGAUAACUUCGGGAAACCGGAGCUAAUACCGGAUAAUAUAUUGAACCGCAUGGUUGAAUAGUGAAAGACGGUUUUGCUGUCACUUAUAGAUGGAUCCGCGCCGCAUUAGCUAGUUGGUAAGGUAACGGCUUACCAAGGCAACGAUGCGUAGCCGACCUGAGAGGGUGAUCGGCCACACUGGAACUGAGACACGGUCCAGACUCCUACGGGAGGCAGCAGUAGGGAAUCUUACGCAAUGGGCGAAAGCUUGACGGAGCAACGCCGAGUGAGUGAUGAAGGUCUUGCGAUCGUAAAACUCUGUUAUUAGGGAAGAACAAAUGUGUAAGUAACUAUGCACGUCUUGACGGUACCUAAUCAGAAAGCCACGGCUAACUACGUG